rnacentral:lncRNA from 1 species
UUCUACUUGAAUGUCUAACCACUUUCUAGCACCAUUCUAGAUUUACUGACUGCAGAUAAUACUAUAGAUGCUAAAGUGGAUCAACCAGUCAACUAUACACACUUGCUAGCUUGUUAGAAAGAACCGAAGCUAACCUCCAACACUAACCUGACUUCACUGCUUGUCUUGGGGCUUGGUAUACAUGGGAUCGGAUUUUUCAGACAAGUCUGGAAGGUACAGCCUUGUGUAGAAUUAUAUAUCACAUUCCUCUCUCUAAUUUCGACCCUAGAUUAGU